AUAAAAGUCAGCUAAACAGGCUAACAGCUCGCAAUCAAAGCUGCACCGUUGUACGCACCACAACGCAACCCCAUCUCCGCCCAAGCCCAACGAUCAGUCGAAAAAGAACACUCGUCAAGAUGAAGCGAAGAAGCAGUACUAAGCGGGGGUCGCACUCCGCGGACUACAACUCAUUUCACAUGAACUUAAUUUAAAAUCAGAAGCUCCACAAUUAAAAAUGUAAUUUUGUAUACCUAAA